UCUCGGCGAUGUGACGUCAUGAGCAGUGGCCGACCCGAGGCGGCGGCGGGGGAGGGGGUGCUGGGCGCUGUCAGUGGAGCGAGGUGCGCGCUCACCCUCGGGUUCUGAGCCGGGGACCCGGGAGGCCCGCGCGGACGGAGGCGUGUCGCUCCGGCUGUCACCUUCCCUAGGCGGCCUCUUGUAGACGCGCCUGAAAUGCAGGACACGGCCCACUAAGCACUGCCAGGCAUAGCUUCCGCGCUUAGGAGCUCAACCCCCCAAUCUCUGCGUCCCCAGAUUCAGAUCAUCUUAAAGGAUCCAAGACUACAAAAUGUUUCCUCUGAAGGAUGCUGAGAUGGGCGCCUUUACCUUCUUUGCCUCUGCUCUCCCACAUGAUGUUUGUGGAAGCAACGGACUUCCUCUCACACCAAAUUCCAUCAAAAUCUUAGGUCGCUUUCAAAUCCUUAAGACCAUCACCCACCCCAGACUGUGCCAAUAUGUGGAUAUUUCUAGGGGAAAGCAUGAAAGACUGGUGGUGGUGGCGGAGCACUGUGAGCGCAGUUUGGAAGACCUUCUACGAGAAAGGAAGCCUGUGAGUCAUUCAACAGUUCUGUGCAUAGCAUAUGAGGUACUUGAGGGCUUACAUUACUUGAACAAGCAUGGCAUAGUACACCGGGCCUUGUCUCCCCAUAAUAUCCUGUUGGAUCGGAAGGGCCAUAUUAAACUGGCUAAAUUUGGACUUUAUCACAUGACAGCCCAUGGUGAUGAUGUUGAUUUCCCAAUAGGGUAUCCCUCAUACCUGGCACCUGAGGUAAUUGCACAAGGAAUUCCCAAAACUACUGAUCAUGUGCCAAGUGAAAAACCAUUGCCUUCUGGCCCCAAAUCAGAUGUAUGGUCUCUUGGGAUAAUUUUAUUUGAGCUUUGUGUGGGGAGAAAAUUGUUUCAGAGCUUGGAUGUUUCUGAAAGAGUAAAAUUUUUGCUUACUUUGGGCUGUGUAGAUGAUACUAUAAUAGUUCUCGCUGAGGAGCAUGGGUGUCUGGACAUUAUCAAGGAGCUUCCUGAAAAUGUGAUAAAUAUUUUGAAGAAGUGCCUCACCUUCCAUCCUUCUAAGAGGCCAACCCCAGAUGAGUUAAUGAAGGACCAGGUGUUCAGUGAAGUGUCACCUUUAUACACCCCCUUUAUCAAACCUGCCAGUCUGUUUUCAUCUUCUCUGAGAUGCGCUGAUCUAACUCUGCCUGAGGAUAUCAGUGACUUGUGUAAAGAUAUAGACAAUGAUUACCUGGCAGAGAGAUCUAUUGAGGAAGUUUACUACCUUUGGUGUUUGGCUGGAGGGGACCUGGAAAAGGAGCUUAUAAACAAGGAAAUUAUUCGCUCCAAGCCACCUGUCUGCACACUCCCGAAUUUUCUCUUUGAAGAUGGAGAAAGUUUUGGACAAGGUCGAGAUAGAAGCUCACUCUUAGAUGACACCACAGUCACGUUGUCUUUGUGCCAGCUAAGAAACAGAUUAAAAGAUGUUGGUGGAGAAGCGUUUUACCCAUUGCUGGAGGAUGACCAGUCAAAUUUGCCACAUUCAAACAGCAAUAAUGAGUUGUCUGCAGCUGCUACCCUGCCUUUAAUCAUCAGAGAGAGGGAUACAGAAUAUCAGCUCAACAGGAUUAUUCUCUUUGACAGGCUGUUGAAGGCUUACCCAUACAAAAAAAAUCAAAUCUGGAAAGAAGCAAGAGUUGACAUCCCUCCACUUAUGAGAGGUUUAACCUGGGCUGCUCUUCUGGGAGUUGAGGGAGCUAUUCAUGCCAAGUAUGACGCCAUUGACAAAGACACUCCGAUUCCUACAGAUAGACAAAUUGAGGUAGACAUCCCUCGCUGUCAUCAGUAUGACGAGCUGUUGUCAUCACCAGAAGGCCAUGCAAAGUUCCGGCGUGUACUGAAAGCCUGGGUGGUUUCUCAUCCUGAUCUUGUGUACUGGCAAGGUCUUGACUCACUCUGUGCUCCAUUCCUGUAUCUAAAUUUCAACAAUGAAGCCUUGGCAUAUGCGUGCAUGUCUGCUUUUAUUCCCAAAUACCUGUAUAACUUCUUCUUGAAGGACAACUCUCAUGUAAUACAAGAGUACCUGACCGUGUUCUCCCAGAUGAUCGCCUUCCAUGAUCCAGAGCUGAGUAAUCACCUCAACGAGAUUGGCUUCAUUCCCGAUAAUGGUGCCCUUUGAAGUAGCAUACAGUUCAGGGCAAACUCCUGACAUCCCUAACAUCCCCUCUGAUGCUGAUUAGUCAUGCUUCUCCACGCAUUUCUGGAGACUUAUCCUACAUCUGUUUUCAUGCCAUUUAGCUCUACGCCAUCCCUUGGUUUCUCACCAUGUUUACUCAUGUAUUUCCACUGCACAAAAUUUUCCACCUCUGGGAUACAUUACUGCUCGGAAAUUCCUCUUUCCCAUUCUGCAUUGGAGUAGCCAUCCUCCAGCAGCUGCGGGACCGUCUUUUGGCCAAUGGCUUCAAUGAAUGCAUCCUUCUCUUCUCUGACUUACCAGAAAUUGACAUUGAACGCUGCGUACGUGAGUCGGUCAAUCUGUUUUGCUGGACUCCUAAAAGUGCUACAUACAGACAGCAUGCUCAGCCUCCAAAGCCAGCCUCGGAGAGCAGUGUAGUGCGAAGCUCAGCGCCUUACUUCUCUGCUGAGUGUACAGAUCCUCCAAAGACAGACCUGUCAAGAGAAUCCAUCCCUUUAAGUGACCUGAAAUCAGAAGUAUCACCCCGGAUUUCAGCAGAGGACCUGAUCGAUUUGUGUGAGCUCACAGUGACAGGCCACUUCAAAACCCCCACCAAGAAAACCAAGUCCAGUAAACCAAAGCUCCUGGUGGUGGACAUCCGAAACAGUGAGGACUUCGUUCGCGGGCACAUUGCAGGCAGCAUCAACAUCCCAUUCAGCGCAGCGUUCACGGCAGAAGGAGAGCUCAGCCAAGGCCCUUACACCACCAUGCUGCACAACUUCAAGGGGAAAGUCAUUGUGGUUGUAGGCCACGUGGCUAAGCAAACAGCUGAGUUUGCAGCUCAUCUGGUGAAGAUGAAAUACCCAAGAGUCUGCAUUCUAGAUGGCGGCAUUAACAAGAUCAGGCCAACAGGCCUCCUCACGGUCCCCUCUCCUCAGAUAUGAAGGACCAAGUCCACGGCUGACAAGACAGAGUACCAUCACCCCCUCACAGCCCGUCACACUGAGACACAAGUGGACAUCAGACCACUGCAUUGCGAAGUUUUCUCAUGAGAUGCUUUUGGAAAUCGUGACUCAAAUGGUCGCCUAGCUAGGCAAGAAAUUUGAUUGCUCAUGUAUUGAUUGCUAAAAGACUUUUCUUAAUAGUGAAAUCUGAUCAUGCCAUAUAAAUCCACACUGCCACAUAAAGCCAGAAGAAUUCAGCCGACAGGGCAAAUUUGGCACUCUCAAGAAUCCACAAUGAACUGAGAAAGCUGCCGUCCAGUGCACUGAGCAGACUGUCUUAACAAAGGUGUUUAGAAAAUGUGAUGUGUUUCACCACCUCUUCCUUAUGGCAGAAAGUAGAAAGCUAGUCACAGUAAAUGUGACAUUUGUUAACUCACAAACAAGGGGUGUGUGUGUACAUGUGUAUGUGUUUAGACCAUUGUGAACAGUGGUAGCAGCAAUCUCAGAGAAUGGACCUUCAGAGACUGGUCAUAUUUGGUAACAUAUUUGUCCACUUGUAUAGCAAGAAACUCGAAGAAUGACUGAAACAGCUUUUCUGAUCUAACACACUCAGUCUUCAUGGGCAGCGACGGCUUCCUUGCCUGCACAACGGUACAGAGCUGAUAGCUUCUGCUGCUUUGCCACAGAACACUUUUCUCCUUGUGAGCACGAAAGCUCCUGAGACUGUGGCAGCAGACAGAGGCCCGAGCCCGGUGGUUUCCCGGUGCUGAGAGGGGAAAUGGAUGCAAGCCCGUCCCUCACCAAGAAGCUAUCUCCAGUUGGUAGCCACUCACAAAGAAAAAUGAGUUUCGGCAGAGCCAUCUCCCUGGGGUACAAACCACAGAGUCAGACCCCAUGCCCAGCAGUUGAUGGCCAACAAAAUAGGAACUCAACUGUAUUUUUAGAUUUUUUUUCUGUCUGAUAUUGCUUUGUUUGUCAUUUUUUACCUUUAUUUUUUUCUCAAGUGGUAUUGUUUCUGAUUUUGUGGUUUUAUUGGUUUUGUGUGUACGUGUAUAUAAGUGUAUUUCUUUGUGCUGUUUUUGUUUGUUUUGUUCUGGUGUGUUUUCUAAAUGAUGAAAAAGAAAGGGUGGCGUUGGAAAGAACUGGGAGACAGGGGAAUCUGAGCAGAGCAUAUUAAAUGAGAAGUUUUUUGUUUUUUGGUUUUUUUUUUUUUUUUUUUUUUUUUUUUUGGUUUUUCGAGGCAGGGUUUCUCUGUAUAGCCCUGGCUGUCCUGGACCUCACUUUGUAGACCAGGCUGGCCUCGAACUCAGAAAUCCGCCUGCCUCUGCCUCCCGAGUGCUGGGAUUAAAGGCGUGCACCACCACGCCCGGAAGUUAUUUUCAAUUUAAAAAAAAAGGCUCCUCCACUUCCAUCAUUAUAUCCGAAAUCUAGAAGGAAAGAAAUGAAAGAGGGAAGGCAAGACAGAGAAGGCAGAAGUAGGAAGAAAUCAGGAAGAAAAGGUGAGCAGGAAAGAGAAGGAAGAGGCAUCGCAUUCCCUUCAAAGACACGAGCUGACGCUGCACACUCCCUCCACUGCCUCACCGGUGACCAGCCUGGACUCGCAUGGCAGCACCCAGGGAAUGCUGAGGGAAGCUGGGAUGGCAGCCUCUGGGUUGCCAGAGCUCCCCAGCUCCGAAAGCCUGACUGCAGUGUGAGGAGAAGAGAAUGUGUACGGAGAGCCAGCAGCAGCCUCUGCCCCAGGGUUGGAAAAGUUAUGUCCUGAGCUCUACCGAAUCUAAAAAUCCACAAUUGUGUGAGACCACAAUAUGGAGUCAGAAAGACAAAGGCAUUCAUCAUUUGUAAGAGGAACUUUUUUUUCAGAUUUCUGAAAUGGGAACAUUACUGAAAUAUAUCCUUUGACUAUUUUGAAUGUUGUUUCAAAAGUGUCCACUCUUGGUCCCUUCUAUUCCCCGUCAGUGUGACGACUCUGAACAUCUGUACAGAAACCUCAAGCGUCUGGGCCUGGACUUCAUUCUACAACUGUUGCCGCCUUUAUUUUACUUGCAUCUGUUUUUAAUUUGUGAGUACACAGGUGUGGGUGCAGGUACCCUAUGGUGGUACACCUAUGGGGUCACCUACUUAUUCUCCAACUUUUCUUUGGUAUUUUUGUUUGGGGCUGUAGACUAGAAUGUUAAUAGCUCAGCAGUAGGCCAGCAAGCUCCUGGGGUCAUGCUGUAUCCAACCUUCCGCACUAGGAUUACACACCACUACCGCGCCCAACUACUUAGUUGGGUUCUGGGCAUCUGAACUCAGGUUUCCAUACUUGAAAGGCAAGCACUCUACCCACUGAGCCAUCUCCUCAGCUUACAUCUAUGUAAAACUAUACUUUGCAAACCAUAAAAUUCACCUUUUUAUCCUAGGUGAUUCAGUGACUUGUUAUAUUCAUAACAUUGUACUGGUAGUAGUUAAUUCCAGAACAUUUUCAUGACCCAAAACCAAAAUAUUGUAUUUAUUUGCAGCCAUUUUGCCAAUAGCCUCUACUUGGUCUUUGAUUUCAUUUUUGUGCCUGGAGUAAAACAGGGACCUAACUUCACUUUUGCGUAAAGAUAUCCAGGUCAAUUAAAUUAUACUUGGUUAUCCACCAAAUAUCUUUUGAAUUAUUUACUAUGCAAGAUACUAAUGUGACCAAUAACUAUCAUUUUGUGAUUUUUACAUAGUUUGUAAAGGAAAACAAAUAGGAUUAGAGAAAAAAAAAAACGACUACCAUUGUCUAGCGCCAUUUCCUGACCAACAUGAGCCUCGCCAGCGCUCCUGGUUUUCUUCGGUCUUUGGUGGUUUAACUGUCUCCACAGGAAGAAGAAUGCAGCACUGAUAAUCCACUCAGAAUUGUUCCCAUCUUACCUUUCUCACAGUGGCCCCGGUUUGACUGGUCACAGUGACAGAUGGGAGAGGGUGAAGACAUGAGCGUUGUAAAGAAAACUAUAAGGGAGAGUUAUGGUUCACCUCCAUCAGGGUCUUUCAUGUGAUUUUUUUUUUCUUAAAAUAACAUAUUUAGGCUUGUUCUAAAUGACAGGGAAAUGUUUUAACAGAUAAAUUUUAAGUAAUAUUUAAUAUUCUCAACUACAACAUUCGAGGUGUCUAUGAUGGUUAAUAUUGUCAACUUGACAGGUUCUACACUUACCUAGGAGACACUCCUCUUAGGCAUGUCCAUGCGGGAGUUGCCAGAUUGGGUUGAUUGAAAUGGGAUGUCCCAUCCUAACUAUGAGUGGUCCUGUUCCAGUAGCUGGGGUCAGAAUGGAAUAAAGGGAGAAAGAACGCUGCGCACCAUCAUUCAUCUCCCUGUGUCCUGACUGAGGAUGUAAUGUGACCAGCAAGCCUGAGCUUCUGUUAUUACAACUUUCUUUCUGUGAUAUUCUGUAUUCUAAAACUGUGAGCAAAAAUACCCCCUAUCCUAUGCUGUUUCUGUCAGGGUAUUUUACCCCAGACACAGAACAAGUAAUACAGCAUGCUGACCUGUGGCAGAUCAUCUCAAUAAAGUGGACCUUAGCAAGUG